UACGUAGGAGGCAAGCGUUGUCCGGAAUUACGGGGGGUAAAGCGCGUGUAGGUGGUGGGACAAGUCUGCUGUGAAAGCGCCUGGCUUAACCGGGCGAGGUCGGCGGAAACUGUUCGACUCGAGGACGGUAGAGGGGGGUGGAAUUCCCGGUGUAGUGGUGAAAUGCGUAGAGAUCGGGAGGAACACCGGUGGCGAAGGCGGCAUCCUGGACCAACACUGACACUGAUGAGCGAAAGCCAGGGGAGCAAACGGG
rnacentral:rRNA from 1 species